AAGGAGGGGGUGGAAGGUACAGCCCCUUUCCCCAGCCCAGCCGGAGCAGCUCUGGGACACUCAGCCUUCCUGCCAGGCAGAGAAACUGUCUUUUUCAUCUGAUAUCAUGGGUGAGAGAAGGCUACACAGAGCCUUAAACUUGCAAAAGGGAUUUGUGAGCAGCCUGCUUGUCAAGAACAAAUACUAGUCAAAAGAAAUGUGUGACUUAUUGACCUUGGGUUCACUGAACCUUCAUCUUGAUGCUUCCGUACCACUAAGGAAUCGGCUUCUCUGAAAAUUAAAGUUCCCAGAUUAGAAUAGAAGCUUCAACAAAGGACCUGUGUGGCUUUGCAAAUACACAUCGAUUAGAGGACUUUGGAAGAGCUUUGUUAGAAAAGUGGAAUUAUGAAAAGCAAAUGUUUGAGAGGUAAGAAACUGAUUGAGGUCAAAGUUGAUGAAAACCAGACUUUUGAAAAUAUAGAAUUUCUUAUUUGCAUUUUGGCUAAAAAUCUUUACUCUUUGUCCUUACCUGUUACGUUAUUCAUUUGGAGAUUCAGUGACAGUGUCAGGCUGCUCUAUUCAUCUUGUCAAGGUGGUGAUGUGCUGUGGGGAGAGGUGAUGACUUUCAGGAAGACUCUUUUGGUGAAUGCCCAAUAUUUGUUUUGUGUUAUCUGAUUCAAAUUAGUUUGUUGCAUCUUCCAAGUUUUUAUAAGUUUACAGAAAUAUUUCAAAUUCCAACUCUUAAUGUUUGUGUUUAAUAACUAUGAAGUCAUUACUUUUUUUUUUCUCAUGUUCCUAAAGAAACAUCUCUCAAGAAAUCAGCCCAAAGAUUUCUAUGCAAUGUGUUAGGGUGCUAGUCUUGGUGCUCAAACUUUUUGAAGGUUCAGAACUGCACCUCUUUCCAAUGCACCAAGAUGAGUCUUUAUGCUAAGAUGAAAUUUAUAACAGUUCCUAUGCAGAACUAUUCUUCCACUACAGAACAGUGCAUUUGUGCACAUGUGUGACCACGAUGUGGAUGUGCUAAAUACUUCUGUGUGUGUACAUAGCCACAAAACCUGAUAGAAUGCUAUUUAAAAGGAUAUAUAUAAUAAAGUUGCAUAUGCUUUUCAUAUGCUCAGGACACA